rnacentral:rRNA from 1 species
CGUAGGGUGCGAGCGUUAAUCGGAAUUACUGGGCGUAAAGCGUGCGCAGGCGGUUUUGUAAGACAGAUGUGAAAUCCCGGGCUCAACCUGGGACCUGCAUUUGUGACUGCAAGGCUAGAGUACGGUAGAGGGGGAUGGAAUUCCGCGUGUAGCAGUGAAAUGCGUAGAUAUGCGGAGGAACACCGAUGGCGAAGGCAAUCCCCUGGACCUGUACUGACGCUCAUGCACGAAAGCGUGGGGAGCAAACAGGAUUAGAUACCCUGGUAGUCCACGCCCUAAACGAUGUCAACUGGUUGUUGGGUCUUUACUGACUCAGUAACGAAGCUAACGCGUGAAGUUGACCGCCUGGGGAGUACGGCCGCAAAGGUUGA